GCAUGCUCAUCUACAGAAACGCCGCUUGGCCUUUGGACUACACCAUCUGUCGCUCGCUCUAACGAGCCGGCGUUGCCGCCAGGGGACGCUCGGGCCGCAGGAGGUCGCUGGGUCGUGAGCUGGCGCCGGGGACGCCGAGCGACUGCGGGGUUUCCCUCAGCGUCCUGCUAUCCGGCUGCCCGCCGCGCUCCUUGGUAGUGUCCGUGGGCGCGCAGGCCUUGAAGAACCUCCUCGUGGCGGGACCCCGAGCGCAGGAGAGGUGUCAAAGAGCUGGCGCGUCUCCAGAGCCCCGGGAGGAAGGCUGUAACGGCAGCCCCAUCGUAGACAGGGACAUUCGCAUCCCGAGCCCUGGAUCUCUGAAAACCAGCCCAGAAUUUGGAAGCUGGAAGGAACUUUAGAUCGUCCAUUCUGAGUGUCUCUCUUCGCUGGCGUUUUCCCACUGAGGUUAUGUAAACAUGAAGAGGAGCCUACAAGUGUCAAGGAAAAAACGACAGCUAACCACAGGGCAGGCCAUGGGCAAGAUAUCUCAGUGUUCUCCGCUCUCAUAGGUCAGAGUGAGACUCACCUAGGCUGGACUGCAAUGGUGCAAUCUCGGCUCACUGCAACCUCCGCCUCUCAUGUUCAAGCCAUUCUCCUGCCUCAGCUUUCCGAAUCGCUGGGAUUACAGGUCACGACCCCCAGGAGACCUGGAGGACUGAAUGCUGCUGCCCCCAAGGAGGAGGCUGCCGUCUUAUCCCAGGAGGGAGAGCAGGUGAAGUCCCCAGGGGAGGAAGCACCUAGCCCCAUUCCUGCUGAGCAGGAGGUGGCAGGUACCCCAGACUGGGAGGUAAGGACAGCCCGGGGCUUCGACUGAACGUCUCCAGCGUGGGUCCAACUGAGCAGCCAUGGAGCACUGCAGAGUGGGAGGCAGCAGGGCAGGGAGGCAGUGCUGGAGGCUGGCUCAACCCCAAGACCAGCAGGCCAAGCUGCCAUCCCAGGGGAGCGAGGACGUCUGUGCAGAGCUGAGAGGCAGCAGCCAUGUGUGAACAGACUGGGCCUCAUCCUGGCCCCACCGACUUUGUGUGGACAGAGCCUGUUUCCCUGUCUGUGCAACACAGAACCUGCCUGAUCUCACUGCUGGAUCCCUCUUCUUCCUGCCAGGAAAAUAAAAAGGUUCAAAAGGAAGUUGCUGCGUAUCCAUCUGAGGCCUCUGAGGACAGCAAAGAGCAAAGGCCCUGGGACCGGGUCUACGUGCCCAUGACAGAGCUCUGGCUGGACUGGUUCUGAGCCUCUAACACCCCCAAGACUCAGAACCGUGAAGAAAAUCUUUCCAAUAAAUCCAAGAGUUGCUGCUGCUAUAGGCCAGGCUGCCACCUUUCGGGGCCUCCGUCUUCAGACAAACCCAGCCUGGCUUCAUCCACACUCCCUGUCCCCACAGCUGCAGGAACAGCACUUCCUGCCACCGAGCCGUGUGACCACAGUGGAUUGUCUCUGGAGGGGCCCAAGGGGGCCCUGGCCACCCUUCUGACUGACUCGGUGCCAGGGGACAGACCAACGUCCCUCUCGUGCUGACAGCCGGGCCGCACCCUGGCAUGAGGGCAUUUACAGAAAUGCUGGCGGAACUGCUGCCAGGGAGGCUGUAGGGUCCUCUGGCAAAAGAGGCCUCAGGUGGCUCCUCAGAGUGUCUGUGGUUCUCUGUCCCAGGCUGUUCCCUAAGAAGGUCUGCCCAGGACUCAGGUCACGACCCCCAGGAGACCUGGAGGACUGAAUGCUGCUGCCCCCAAGGAGGAGGCUGCCGUCUUAUCCCAGGAGGGAGAGCAGGUGAAGUCCCCAGGGGAGGAAGCACCUAGCCCCAUUCCUGCUGAGCAGGAGGUGGCAGGUACCCCAGACUGGGAGGUAAGGACAGCCCGGGGCUUCGACUGAACGUCUCCAGCGUGGGUCCAACUGAGCAGCCAUGGAGCACUGCAGAGUGGGAGGCAGCAGGGCAGGGAGGCAGUGCUGGAGGCUGGCUCAACCCCAAGACCAGCAGGCCAAGCUGCCAUCCCAGGGGAGCGAGGACGUCUGUGCAGAGCUGAGAGGCAGCAGCCAUGUGUGAACAGACUGGGCCUCAUCCUGGCCCCACCGACUUUGUGUGGACAGAGCCUGUUUCCCUGUCUGUGCAACACAGAACCUGCCUGAUCUCACUGCUGGAUCCCUCUUCUUCCUGCCAGGAAAAUAAAAAGGUUCAAAAGG
rnacentral:lncRNA from 1 species